AUGGCAGCCCCAGGAUCUACGGUUUUCAAUUGUGAAACAAAGCACAGUGUUAAGACACUCUGGGACAACACUGGACACCCCUUAAUCAGGACUCUCACAAAUACCAGAGAACCUCUAAACAGGUUGGAGAACAUGGUGCAGGCUUCAUGUCCAAGUGGCAACUGCUUAAUUCCUUUUUCCAAAACCUCUGCUUUUUGCAUCCCCAGAACUUACGGAUGGAGUGCCAGGCAACGCCAGUGUGAAGCACGUUCACUAGAGAAAAAAGAACAAGGCAGCACGGUGCCAAGGGCCUGCAGCGUUGGGGUCACCUGGUUAUGUGUCGGCUGCUCCUCAUUACCUCCCACUGUGGACUCCUGGACACAGAGGCCUCAUUCUACUCACUGCUGCAUGCCCACCAUCUACGACAUUGCAGGGACGCUGGAGGGGCACAACACUGUUGAGUGAGUAAAUGACUAAACGCACGAAUGAGUGAUAGGCCCCCUGCCAACUCCCUGGCUGUCUGGGCCACCUUCUAUGAACUCUGAAGUGCUUCUUGCCUUGGUUAAGUAGUCAGCAUUUGGCCACGCCUCCACAUCACAGUUCCCCUCUGACUGUGUGGCCAUUUAUCUGUGUAGUGCACCCAGGAACUGUCGAGUGUGACUCCUAGCUUUCCCCCGCAAAGCCUUGUAGGCAGCCCUACAGCAUCCACGCAUUCGGCAAAUGCAUGGUGGACACACGAAUUAGUUGGUAUGACUUGGGAAGUAGCUCUUUAAAUCUUUGCAGGCACUGUGGGGCAUUCAGACAAAAGACAUGGCUCCUUGUGGGAGUUUAUGUUGUAAAAGAACAAGGAACUGGAAAAGAGAAUGAUGGAGCCUAUUGCUACCAGGGAGGAGCCUCAACGUUUCCCCUAUGCCAGCUCUCAGGAGACAGGUAUUCUGGGGUGCAAGGGAGGGCUGACAGUGAGAGCCCACUGAACAGUGCGUGGGAGGUGGGUUCACCCAGGCUGCCUCGUAGCCCCGAGAGAAAGCAAACCUAAGCUUCAGAAAGGAUCACCACCCAGGGGGCCUGCUUAUGGUGCGUUCCUCCUGUAAUGUCUCCUUCUCUCCUGUGGUGGUGUCACAGCAGAGUUCCCAUCACAAACAUUGCAAGCCCUACAAGAGCAGCACAGCUGUCUCUAGGUUGCUUCUACAAUUAUUUGAAGCAGGGAGCAGAGCAGGGGCCAGGGAGGGAGGAGAGAAAGAGAGAGAGAAACAGAGAAAGCCCCCACCCACUGGUUUACUCUCCAAGUGGCUGCAGUGGGCCUGGUUGGGCCAGGCCAAGACUGAGGGCAGGGAACUCACAUGGAUGGCUGGGACCCAGCCAUGAGAGCCAUGACCGGAUGCCUCCCACGGUGUGCAUGAUCAGGAAGCUGGAAUUGGAAACAGGGCCAGGACUCAGGCACUCCAAUUCCAGCAUUUCAGUUCCAAGCCAAGUGCCCAAACCAGUUGUCUUUAAUUUUGAUCUCAAAACGCCCCUCUCUCGGACCUGAAUCUGCCCUUCCUCCCCUGACUCCAAAGGAGACCCAGCCACUCACUGGGGACAGCCUCUGGCAGCCUUUUAGCCUUCCCCUUCCAUGCCCUGCGUUCCCUGUUGCCCUAGAAAGGCCCUUGCAGCCUUUGCAGAAACGUGGAAGUCAGUGUGUAUGGCUGCUGCAGGCGUUUCAGCAGAUGGAGUGGUCCAAAUAUUUAGAUAUCUAUGAUACAGGAAGCGUGGAGCACAUUAAAAACCAUUUUCUCCCUGCUGCUUGCAUGAGAGGAAAAAGACAUAGUCCCUGCUCUCCUGCACAGUUGCAAAACUGCUGUCCCAACCACAUUGUCUAUGUAAAGAACCUCAGCGGCCUCCUCUAGUCUGGCUUUAGGUUGCAUUUACUGUAAACAAAGAUGUAUUUUCAGGUGGGGGGGGGAGGCUGGAUUGAGUUUAUUGUUUAUGUAAAUCUCUCAGAAUGUGACAUAGCAAGAUAGCUUCCUAUGUUGCGUUGAUCCACAUUUUAGGCCAACAGCCAAAGUAUUUUAUCUUUUCCUUCAUUAUAGUGAUCUUCCAAUUAGCCGUGGUCUGUAAUACCCUGAUUUUGGUGGCGGUGGUUUGGACAGGAUUGUUUGAUAGUUCUGCUCGAGAGGCAAAAUAAGGGGCCUUAUUAUAGAAGUGCAGGGGUUGUGCAGGAGCUGAGUUCUGUUGCAAAGUUUGCCGAUAAGGGGAAAACCGGCCCUUAAGCGUCCAUUCUGUUCUGUAUAUUAACACUUCUAAUCUGCACUGCUGAUAAAACUGCAAGCCAUUUGCCUUUGGAGGAAUUAGUUCUGCCUCACUUGUGUAACCAGGCGAUGGUGAUUAACCUUUAAACUGUCCAAUAUUCCCAGCAGCCUCCUGCUCCAGAUUAGAAACUAUUUAGUUAUGACCAACUAAAUUAACAACACUCCCCCCUCUGAAGAGUGAGAUUUGGAAGGUGGAUGCGUUUUAAGGUGGAAUUGUGUUUUGGACUGGUAGUCCAUCCUUCCACAGUGUUUAUUUCCUUGUCCUUAAGGUCCAGGCUGCCACAGAGGGGACGGAAGGCUGGCUGGGGGAUGGGGAGGUGUGGGGGAAGGGAGGGAGGGACCAGUUGUCCCCGGUUGGGUUUGCAGAUGCAGGAUUUCAUGGGCACAAAGGAAACCUGGCCUGGGUUUAGAUUUCCUUCCUCACUAUCCUCCCAGGUUAGCUCUUCUGCCAGAUCCAAGCCAGGCUCACAGCAGGGUGGAGCAGUUGUUCCUAAUGGGAAGAUUAAGGAAUAAAUAAGGUAGCUCCCUUACUCCCA
rnacentral:lncRNA from 1 species